rnacentral:ncRNA from 1 species
CAAGAGAUGUAGGGGGACCGGUGUUGCCGGUUGAGAUUUCAUCCGUUAGAUGAUGACCCUUUGAACCUGAACUGGUUAAUACCAGCGGAGGGAACAUGAUUCUGUACUCU